GACGAAGGUGGCUAGCGUUAUUCGGAUUUACUGGGCAUAAAGCGCGCGUAGGCGGCUUGGUAAGUCGGAGGUGAAAGCCUGCAGCUCAACUGCGGUGUGCCUCCGAAACUGCCGGGCUUGAGUGCGGGAGGGGUGAUUGGAACUCCAGGUGUAGCGGUGAAAUGCGUAGAUAUCUGGAGGAACACCAGAGGCGAAGGCGAAUCACUGGACCGCAACUGACGCUGAGGCGCGAAAGCUAGGGGAGCAAACAGG
rnacentral:rRNA from 1 species